AGAGGCAAAUCGCCAUUUUACAUGAAGCAUAAAAAAACACAUCAAAAUAAAUAAUUAUACAACAUGGAGUCAAAGUCUUUUACAGACUUUCGGUAUGCAAUUGACUCCAUGGGAUGGCUAUCUGGGUUAAGUCCAUUCGUAUAAUCCAAACUCCCGAACGGGCCGGUGUUCGCAUGCCUUGACGAAUGAGAGUAGUCUCAGCGGUGUUCAGCAGAAAAAGUGUCAGUUUUUAGUUCCAUAGAAUCUGUGCCGAACACCGCUGGUCUCAGCGGUGUUCAGCAGAAAAAGUGUCAGUUUUUAGUUCCAUAGAAUCUGUGCCGAACACCGCUGGUCUUUCGCAUGGUCGGCAUACGAACGACGACCACCCUGCAUUAGGUUAUAAUCAAGAGGUGUCUGCGGUUAACCCCAACAUUCUAAUUGGGAUCAAGAGGUUAACCAACAGCACACUUCUCUUCUGGGUGGCCGUCCGUUCGGUAAGUUCAUUCGGCCAAAAAGUCAAAAAGGCGAAUAGGGGCAUACGGACAG